UACGGAAGGUCCGGGCGUUAUCCGGAUUUAUUGGGUUUAAAGGGAGCGUAGGCCGGAGAUUAAGCGUGUUGUGAAAUGUAGACGCUCAACGUCUGCACUGCAGCGCGAACUGUUUUCCUUGAGUACGCACAAAGUGGGCGGAAUUCCCCGUGUAGCGGUGAAAUGCGUAGAGAUGGGGAGGAACACCAGUGGCGAAGGCGGCCUGCUGGUCUUUAACUGACGCUGAGGCACGAAAGCGUGGGUAGCAAACAGG
rnacentral:rRNA from 1 species